UUUGUUUUGGAAAAUGGCGUCUCGAUCGACAAGUGCAAUACGCGGAGACGUGGAUCGUCGAAUUCGGUACGUACGCGAAGGGAGAAUAAAAAACUUGUACCGCAGAUUGCAUUCUCCGAUUUCUAUGCGUUUGUUGACACUCUGCACAGCAAAUGAAGUGCAUUUUCACGUUUGCUUCGUACGCCUUUGCGAGUUGUCAGUGCUAGGAGGUGUUCGAUCCCCAGCAGACGACGAGGUCGCUACAAUGUUUUGAGUAGCAUGCAAAAAUCGCGCUUACGGAGCAGCUUGAAUUAUUUCAACCUCGUCAAGGGCAAAUGACAAGACAGCAAAGUACCCGAAGUUUCAACGUUGCGCUGAACGCGGUACCGUUCAGUUGCAUUUUCUUGUCGGUUUUCAAGCACGAAUUUCCCGAUGCAUCUUGAAAGCUUAUCUUGCCUCUUAUUAAAUCUGACAGAGCAAAAGUGUAGGCUAUCGUAAUGAAUUUGCUACGAUAGCAUUAAAUCCGUGGCUUGAAUAAAAUAUUACAUGCACGUUUGGUUGCACCUCUUCGCUGGAGAAUUUUUUUUUUCUUGCACAGAAACCAAUAAACAUUGACUAUGUUGCGGACUUUGUAUCCUUACUGCAUCUGUAUGAACACUUGCUCUGCAAGGUAACUAACUGCACAGCUAGUAGAUUAAGUAAAUACAGUGACAACGUACCCUCCUGCACAAUUAUGUAGAACUCGUGCAACAAUGCGAAAAGCAGGCAAACGCCCUGUUCUUGUGUGGAUAAAACAGUAUAAAACGACACGCUGAAGAAAAGUAAAUCUAAACUGUGCAGUGAAGUCAGCCAGUACAAGCAGUUCUUGCACGUUCACAGCUGAUCAAGUGUGCAGAAACAUUCAUGCCUUACAUGUUUCUAGUAAGUUUCUAAUAAGUUUGUGAUCACAUAUAUUAGUGUGUAAACCCAUAUAACGAUAUCCGCUGCGAUUACUAUCUUUGUAAGUAAUGAAAUACCAUGCUACUUGCAAGAACAUAUAUCACCUGAGGAUUUUAGAACAAAUUUCUGCAUUUCAACUAUACACAAUAUGUGGUUUAUUCAAUAAAAGAACACAAACUGGGCUUUUUUGCAAUGACAAACUUAUUCCAAACUUUACUUACAUACAGGCAAGAAAAAAAAUUAUAGACAGAAAUAUUGUUCUUCAAUUUGUUCACCUGCCACUGUGGCUAUAGCAUUCUGCUGCUAACACAAGGCGAGGGAUUGAUUUGCCAGCCAUGGAAGUCGCAUUUCGAUGGGAGUCAUAGGUGCGAAAAAAAGCUCUUGCACUUAGAUUUAGUUCAUCACCUUUUAUUGAACCCUUACACUUCAAAAUGCUAUUGCACGGGGGGCAUGCUUAUGCAAAAUCUAACACCAAUAGAAAGCAAAGCGCAGAAUUGUAAAACAACCAUCUUUCGUGAUAAUUCAAGUGUGUAAAUAUUCAUUGCAUCAAUAUGUAUUGUUCAACAGCACUGCACAAGUAAGCAUGAUCAGGUAUAGCAAGUACUCUGUCAAGAAGCUGGUUAUACAGAUGUAUAAAUGUCAAGGCAUGAAUGCUCAUACUACGUCGCACACAUAGCACAAAGAAAACCUUUUUCAAGAGUUGUCCCUUCUGGCAGAUAUGAGUGGGCCAUAAGCAGCAGAAACUUUAUUGCAGGACAUUGUGUAAUACCGCUUAUGAAAAAAUGAACAGAGUGAAGAGGCUUUUAACCCUUUAUUGACGAGUGUUGCCUACAGGCAACACACCAAAAAAGAAUUUUUUUCUUGUCGAGUUUAAGUAUCGAGUACGAAGUUUCUAGCUAAAUGUCUUCGGCCAACACUGAAUGACAAGCAGCAAGCGUUGUUGGUUGUCAAUUUGUUGGUUUAGAGCAGGAACACUGGACGAGGAAGAAGAAGUUUGGCACGUGACUCACUGUCUUGUGCAAGCAAGUUCAGAGGAGACAGGCCAAUGCAACGUAUGCAGCUGCAUUGGUGUCGCACAUCUGAUGUAAAGCAAAUGAAAUGGGCACCUCUGGUUCACAUAUGAUAAGAGCUGUCUAUACAAAUGGAAAAUAAAGCUAGGUGGCUUCAAUGGGGUGAAGCCCACUUCCAGUUUCCUGCCUGGGGUUUUCCCUCUAUUGCUGAAAAAUUUCUGCAAAAUAUUUUUUCUUUUUGUUGAUUAUGCUUACUCUUGACGUGUUUUGCAUAUUUAGAUAGAACAAUAAACAUGUUUUCUCGGUAUUUAUAUGUCUCGUCAUUAAAGGGUUAACAGCAGUACCUCAUGCUGCUCUAAUAAGAGGAACGAUGUGCAAAAACAUUUCUGGUAGAACACUUAAACUAACUUUCUGAAAGACAGAAAAUUCCAGGUGAGAGUUGGAGGUACGUUUAGCCCACACACACCAACAACACGGGCAUACUACAAGAAACACUACAGCCUAUGGUGUAUUACAGUCUGUGGGAAAGCUAUCUUAUACAGAAAUCAAAAAUGAUGCAACAAGCCCUCGACAACACUGCAGACUUUCUUGGCUAGUCUGGCCUCUCGCUUUCUGAUAAGUCAGCUCAUAUCGACGUCAGAAAAAAAGAAAGACUAGAAUCAAGAACUACCCCAGAUUGCACAUAGUGAUCCACAUAGCUGGACAAAUAUGCCCGCAAGUCAACAUCCACAAAUCCUCAGCUAGUGUAAGCCCAUGACGGCAGAGCCAGCAUGUGGGUGAAACAAUUAUGCAAUGCCUGGACGCAACUUCCACACCUGGUGAAAAGAAUAAUCUCGAAAUAACGGGGGUGGGCGAGCGGAUACUAUAGAAAAUCGCAGAUGCUGUGCUUGUGUCCAAGGUAUGGUACGGUAUGAAUUACCAACAGCACACAAAAAAGACAACUCAUCGAAUACAGGCAUCGGGUAGUAAUAACAGGUCUUUCCAACUGUACCAUGCUUGAAGACCUCUAUGAGAAAGAGCUAACGAACAAGCACCUAGACAGAGUAGAGUUGCAGCCUGCAGCACAAAUUCUUUGUCUCAAGAGCUCAGAACCUCGUCCCAAGAUACUAUGCCAGUUAGCAUAUGAGAUGCAAACACCCCUCCCUUCAGAAAGGCAACCUCGGGAGUACGUGAAGUUGAAACACAACAGGCCCAUACCGUGAAAUAUGGGGACAAACAAUUAGGCCAGGAGAUUAUAUGCAGCUGCCAAACAAACACAGGAGGUUGCUAAUCACGAAGAUGCAAGCAAACAUAAGGCACAUAUAGUACACUGAUCUGGCAAUAGCAGUGUAACAGUAGUAUGACACUACAUAAAACUAAACCCCAUAUAAGUGAGUACCAUUUUAGGUCAUCCUACACCUAGAAAAGCUGAACGGAAAGCAAUCAAAGCAGCACUUGUAAUGCAGAUUACACCCUGCACAACACCCUGCAUGGAUUCACCAGAAACUGUCUGGGCCUGCACAUCACACAAGAUUGUCAGGAAAAUCAAGAGAUUAACACGCGACUUGCCAGCACAUGGCCAGAAAUUAAAUUACAGGAUACAUAGCCAUGCAGUUAUUCCAGGACACAAGCGGGCUUAUAAGCCUGACAUAAUAACUGAAAACUAGAUGAGUUUGUGUGUAUUCAUUAUUAACUAAAGUGCAACAGAUAGACAACACACAAGAACGAAGCGCUCUGUGUGUUCACUUCGUUCCUGUCCAUUGCAUUUCUGUUGCAGUAUAGUUAAUGAAUUCAUAAGGCUGCACAGGAGAAGAAUGAUACCUCUGCCCAAGGGCCCGAUCUCGCAUCCAAAUCCACACGUGUGCACACAUACACACACAAAUGUUGCAAGAGUGCAUAGCAUGGAGCAGUAUCAACAGGAUGACACUAGAUAUGGAUGAGGACUAACUUUCAACUGAGGUUCAUUUGUAAAAAUGUGGCGAGUUGUAAAAGGGCGAUGAGCAAAACGAGAACAAGGUGAAAGCAGGAGCCAACGUUUCGACAAGUGGACUUGUCUUCUUCAAAGUCCACGUGUGGAAACGUUGGCUCCUACUUUCACCUUGUUAUCAUGUUGCUCAUCGUCUUGAAUUUCCAUCUCCUGCCUUCCCCGAAUUUUCCCCAGAAAAAGAAAGACAUCAUUGAAGGAUAGAUAAAAAUUGGUGCUUGAUGCAGCCAAACAUAAAUAAAUAUGCUACAGAAAGAAAAUAGAGAAAAAUUCCAAGUGCAGGAAAAAAUAAUUACAAUUGCCAAUCCUGCAUGCCAGCACCUUUCAAGAAACACUGUUGUUAUUCCAAUAGACAGACUGACAGUUUGCUUAUGCAAUGCAAGCACAUUCUUCCAGUUCCAUGCCAUUGGGGAAAAAAUGAGUUUCCUGGAAGGUAGCCACUUGCACACUUGGUCAUCACUGUUUUUUUUCCCUGGACUUGUAUAUCUAUACGUAUUUUCCCCCUUUCCUGCUUUUAUGUUUGGUUUCAUCAAGCACUAGUCUUUAUCAGGUUUUAUUGCUGCACUACUUUGUGGUAACCUUUAUAGAUCACUGCACUUUCACAAUAAACCUUUUAAUUAGAAGUUAGCAUACCCUGUUCUUACUGCUUCACACUGUAAAUUCUUGCUACAUUGGCCAAAUAAAAGAUUUUAUAAGGUAUCAUGAGGGCUAUUAAAGUGACUUGCUGCAGUCUAAAAAAAAAAAACGAAUAGCCUGGCUGCAAAUGGCACCAAAGAACACAUAGGACAAACAAGAAAACCGUGAUGAUCUAACAAUCAAAAGUUUAAUGUACACACCGAGUAAAUGCUCGCUGACAAGCAAUAGACUGAACAUACACAAAAAGGAGAAGCAAAAAUUCAUGUGCAUUUCCUGACGGGAAAUGCAUCCAUUUUUAGCGGGGGCCGUGAUGUCAAGAUUAACCCAGCAUUUUUAGAUCUACAGCUUCCGUAAUUUCUCUAGGCAGCCGAUCUGCACAGAAUGCUAGCUUCUUCCUCUACGAUGCACGCUCAGAUGUGGAGAGUGCAUUGUAGAGGAAGAAGCUAGCAUUCUGUGGAGAUCGGCUGCCUAGAGAAAUUAUGGAUGCUGUAGAUGCAAAUACACUGGGAGAAUCUUGUGUCAGCAUGGCCGCUGUUACACUUUCAGAGAUGGAUGCGUUUCCUGUUGGGAUCUGUAUGGACACGCAUCAGAUCUUGCUUCUGCUUUUUGUGUAAAUUCGAUUUAUUGCUUGUCGACCAGCAUUUACUCGGCAUGGUCAAUAAACUUUCAUUUGUUAGAACACCUCAUGAGAUUAUCUUGGUAUCUAGCAGAAAGGUGUUCAUUCUUUUUAGAGUGAAGCUGUAUAUGCCUAGGCGAAACACUCAUGGUCCGAUCACAAGAACCCUAGCGUAGGGGUAUGAGCCAUUGUUUCGGGGGUUGUGAGCCAUUGUUCGUCUUACAUGAGGGACGGAGACAUUUCUUGUUGGGUAGACAUAGAAAUUGCUUAUGCAUUUAACACAUAAACAUUUAUCUACGCAUUAUUCCAAGGAAGGGACACAGAGUGGGACGGGGUUAAGACAAGAUCAUGAUGUCAUAAUUAUCUUGCAGCAAAGGUGUGGCGGGCCAAUGGCUACACCGAUAGUGACGUCAUUUCUCUCUAGCAGCAGAGCGCGCGUGCAGAAGUCUCUCUCAGACUUCCCUAUAGGUUCAAAAAUGUGUCCCUGUAUUUAAUUAAAUGAAAUGUGCAGCCCCGGUGUGUCACUUGGUAACUACAGUGCAUAACUGAGUCAUAAACAUUAUGAUUAACGCAUUACAAAACACAAAUGCGUAACAUAAUUCAGAAAGACUUCGACGGACCACCUGGAUUAACACAAUGAACCGCUGCUCAUUGCACUUUCGAAGAUGGUGAUCUUGCAAAGUGCAAUGUGCGGCAUUCCAAAUAAACAAUGUGAUAAACCCAAGCCAAACAUGUGCAUAACCUCAUUAAGAAACACAGACAUAACCAAUAAUAUAGAAAGACUUUAAUAAGCCAUUGGAAUUAACCCAGUGAUAAAAACCGGGGCUGCACAUUUCAGCUUCGCUGGUUUACCGUCUGUACAGGGUGCAUGGGCAGUAACUUUUUCUGUUAUUGUUUGUUAAGUAUUGUAUAAUGUGCCAGUAAAACACGUUGGGCUAGUUGGUGCAAUGUAGUGGUACUGCUUUUUUUUGCUGUUUUUUUUCUUAAUGUUGUGCCCUUCUUCCUUUUGUAACAACUUUUUUAUUCCCCCUUGCAUAAUACUCCAACCUUGCAGCCUGCGAGGUAUAUAAAUAAAUAAGUACAUAAGCACGUCAUUCAUUCAUCUGCAUACACCUCGCACCAUUCCUUGCUCAACAAACGUCACUGUGUUGAUGUCUCGCAGCGUGCAUCUACAUUAACUGCCGUUUGCGUUUCGGUAUGGUUUGUGAACAGUGUAAUGCAUAAAGAUUACAUGACAUUAAGGUUGUGACCUAUGCGGUGCAUAAGCAAACCUUGCAAAAGAUGACAAGUUGGAUUGUUGAAAAUAAGACAAAUGGUAUAUAUCGCAGUUACUUUAACAGCAUUUAAUUGACCACUUGACAAAAACUUCACUUCGCAUAGAUUCCAACACGUACACUGAAUCUGCAGUUUUCUUUUUUGCUUAUUAAUGCAGUCGUUACUGCAUGGCCACAUUGUAGAUUUGAAAACAAAGUGAAAUAAAUUUGUUUCUUGCAAUAUAACAAUAUGUGUAGAUCACUGCGAUUGUAACCCCAGAACUUAAUACAAACAUGCACACUAUAGGACGCAGACAAAUGUUCAGGACAAAUUUCAGAAUGUUUGCAUUCUGAUACAUAUGAAAGUGAACGGUUUCAUUCCAUGGCUGUCAAUGAGAGGGAGAGAGAAAACUUAAAAGUGUUCGUGGAACAAAAACGCACUGAUAAGCUUAGACAUAUAGUCAUUGCUUAACACUUUCGAAAUGAAUAAUUAUAGCUUGCUAUCGACAUUGAAGCAGCCAUUCGACAGCAAGAAAAGGAAUCAGUUUUUCCAGCUCUGAACAUUGAAUUGCAGGAAAUGCAAGCAGGCAUAAAAUUCUGACAAUAUAAUGUAUAGGAAUACCAAAUUGGAAUAAACAUUGAGGCUUGCAUUUGUACUUUCUCUGGCUGAGCAAUCUAGUUUGAAAUGACUCCCAUAAGCAUGUCGUAACAAUGUUGAUCUAAUAUAGGUUAAAUGCAUGACUAGCUUAAGAAAUCUGGACGAUUGCUAUAAAUUACAGUGAAGAAACUAUAAUAUCUAAUAACAUUAAUAAUAUAAUAAUAUUUAUUUCCACAAAACAGGCUAACCGUGAGAGGCGUGCGAGGCUGAGCAGAAAGCUGAAAAAUUCUACGGCAAGUGCGCCUGCCGUGGGCCUACGAUCCUGCAUUAUGAAUAGCGCGUAUUGAUAUGGUCUUCUUGUUAGAAGUUCCGAGUAUACUACCAGCGCGAGACACGGGACAACAAAGUGGACGAGAAGCGUGUCUUUUAGAAUGCUAUGUUACAACGUACAGGUUUCUACAAAAGUGACGGUAACUGCUCGAAACAUUUGAUGCGUCGGCUUUUGCGCCUUUAGAAAUAUUGAGAGGGGGCUCCCAUAUAUAUAUUCGCAGCGCAAGCACGGCGAUGGACGAACCAGGCUAGCGCUAAGGUUGAAUUUCACAACACAAUUUUCAUUCCACGUCGUAAUCACACAGAUCGUUUGAGGCUUCGUUCAGGGGCACACGCGGGCGUUCGGGUUGGUGCUUCUUGUUGCGUUUGGCGUAAGAAUAUGGCUAGGAGCAGGCACCACAUAUGCGCAAUGACAGGCAAUAUACACGCAUCAUUUCUCUAGACGCUGACGCCGAGCACGGGUAGCGCGAGGAUCUUGUUGGGCUGACACGACAACUUCGUGGCAGCCGAAUUCCGAAUACUGCAUAUACGGUGAGGGUAGCUAUAUGAACUUGUCGAUAGGUCAUCUUGCAGAUUGUUGUAGCACAGGCAGAACAAAACGGUCAUAGAAGGUAGAUAAGGCAACACACACCGCUGAACCACCUACGAACAGCUGUUUACGUGCGCGAUGUCGCACUGAACUACAGAAACCGCCGUCGCGCACCCCAAGACAAAUCUUAACUAACGUUUUUAAAUGAGUAAACGUACAUAUUAUUUGCUUAUAAUCAAAAGAAGUCAAUAAUAUUAUAGUGUAAACGUUUUAUUCACUACAAUAAAUGAAUUAUGCAGCGUGUGCCACGAAACCUGGCACUAAGCAACCCUGGGCGUCGCACCAGUCGCAUUGUUAAAAUCGCAAUCAUGUGAAAUGAGCCCUCUAAAAAUCGCAUUGCGACGCGUGCGACAGCACCGAUUUUCGUCGUUGCAGUCGCAUCAUGUGAAACAGGCUUAAGACGGAACCAGCAAUGAAAUGAACUGUACCUCGGACUUUUAAGAAAGUGAAAUGCUCAGACUCCAUACACUUUGUCCAUGUCUGUUGCACACCUCAUCGCUUCCGCCUAUGAAGACUACAGCAGACGCUCCGGAAGUAUCAACCCGACCAGUUUUCUUGCCAGCCAUCUAGCAAGUGUGGACCCCAAAGAUAGUGCAGUCUUCAUGACUUGCAGGUUGGUCAAGAGUGCAACACACAUUCAAGCGUCAGUUGCGAGUCAGUGCCAGUGUUGUGUUCUUUGCCUGUGUGCUUGUCUGUGUAGCACUGCUACUUUUCGAAACAUGAAUUACCACCAACUCGCUAAAGUUUUCCUUCUCGUGCAGUCUAGGCAUUUUCACUCCCAAUCUCGAGAUGACCAAAUUGAUGUGGGAUCUUGUGGUCCCAAUCCUUGCAUGACAUUUCAGUGUAGAGGAUGCCUCACAAUGUUCGCUUACACUACUACCUUACGCUUUUAUGCUGGAGUGUUCGCUAGUUUCUCAAGCACACACUAGUGCAGCUUAAGGCGGUAAGACUACAGCAAGACUAUGGUAUAAUGACAUUGUAAAGACAGCAUGACGAGUGCAAUAAUUGAAAAACAAUGAUACAAUUACAAGUGUAUGACAAUGGCAGAUUCCGAGAUGAUGGAACAACAGUGCAACAACGGCGUUACAACAGCGCCCCAAAGAGAAUCGGAUGUAAAACCGGAUGGCUGAUGACAAACGCCAGACAACUGCCUGGCGAUGUCACAUUCAUGGUCAAACGUCAACAGUACGAUUACAAUGGAACGGCGAAGGAGCAAUGACGACUGAGGAUAGGCCCAAUCGAUGGGUUUCACCACUCAAUGCAUGUAGGACACCACCAGAUGGCGUUACAGGGAACCGAACAUUAAACACCGAACACUCCUCUAAUUGAUGGAAGUACAUGUGACGUUGCAUGCACUUGUGGUAAUGGAAGCGCCUUCUGGUGCCUCUCUAUGGACAGCGCAAACAGAGGAACGAGCUAAGGACAGCUUUAAGAUGUGGGCCGUUCACGUGAAUAUGCGAUGCACUUUAAUGAACCUUCGACGACAACUUGGGCAACUUUAAGUGCCACUGGGUAUGCCCACGUGGACCUAAAUGAAAAAUAAAUUCUGAAGUUCUUGCAUGCUAAAAACCACUAUCUGAUUCUGGGACUCCAGAUUAAUUUUGACUUCAGAGAGGAGUCCAGCUGCAGCAUGCACCUCAUAGAUAAUGCAUUUCGGACAUUUGCAUACUUGACAGCGACCAUAGAUGAAUUCUGCACAAAUUCUUUCCUUCACGUUUGUGCACGCGCCCUUUCAAGGUGACAGCCGUGGCGUAGUUACGCCUGGCUUGCAAACGCAGAAUCGCGGGCCCCACCUGCAGCAAACACCUUCGCCAAAACAUUUUCGCCACAUGCACUAGAUGGCCCAGAGUAACACAUUCGUGUUAAGAGAGGCACACAUUCCACAAGCAUAGCAUUUACUUUUAUUUCCUCAACCCAGCCAAUGAAGAGGGAAGGAAAAAAAGCAAGCACACUCUUUGUUGUACCAAAGAAGUCUGCACCUUACGAAUACACGCUGCAGCAUCAAGCAAAAAACAUUACAUUAAGAAGUGAUCAUUCCUUCAAUUAAAAAGUUAUGUACACUGCUCUCUACCAGACAACUACAAACCCUCAGUAGCUUUUUUUUUUCCUCACCCCGCUCCCUUUUUCCUAGAAAAACGGAGCCAACUUCUCGUGACACUGGCCCGAAGGCAAAACCAGGGCCCAAGAUGCUGCACCGACAGCACACGGCCAAAGAAAAAAAAAAAAGGAUCCUUGAUGUCACGCAUUCCUGCAACCGCAAUUGCAAGCAAGAGUAAUAAGCAAAAAAACUACUCAGGUAUGUACAUGUCUCACGAGUAUGUGCAUCGUCGUACACAACAGCGCACACGCAGGAAAAAGAAAAA